rnacentral:misc_RNA from 1 species
GAUGAAGAACGCAGCGAAAUGCGAUACGUAAUGUGAAUUGCAGAAUUCAGUGAAUCAUCGAAUCUUUGAACGCAUAUUGCGCUCUCUGGUAUUCCGGAGAGCAUGCUUGUUUGAGUAUCAGUAAACACCUCAACUCCCUUUUCUUUUUUGAAAUUGGAGCUGGACUUGAGUGAUCCCAACGCUUUCUUCCAAGAAAGUGGCGGGUUGCUUGAAAUGCAGGUGCAGCUGAACUUUUCUCUGAGCUAUAAGCAUAUCUAUUUAGUCUGCCUAAAAAACAGAUUAUUACCUUUGCUGCAGCUAACAUAAAGGAGUCUAGUUCUUGUGCUGACUGAUGCAGGAUUCACAGAGACAGCUUCGGCUGACUUUGUAAACUCGAUCUCAAAUCAAGUAAGACUACCCGCUGAACUUAAGCAUAUCAAUAAGCGGAGGA